UACGUAGGGUGCAAGCGUUGUCCGGAAUUAUUGGGCGUAAAGGGCUCGUAGGCGGUCCAUCGCGUCGGGAGUGAAAAGCUGGGGCUUAACCCCAGUCCUGCUUCCGAUACGGGUGGACUAGAGGUAGGCAGGGGAGAACGGAAUUCCUGGUGUAGCGGUGAAAUGCGCAGAUAUCAGGAGGAACACCGGUGGCGAAGGCGGUUCUCUGGGCCUUACCUGACGCUGAGGCGCGAAAGCUAGGGGAGCAAACAGG
rnacentral:rRNA from 1 species